UUAAGUUAGAAAGGGCGCACGGUGGAUGCCUUGACACUAGGAGUCGAUGAAGGACGGGACUAACGCCGAUAUGCUUCGGGGAGCUGUAAGUAAGCUUUGAUCCGAAGAUUUCCGAAUGGGGAAACCCACCAUACGUAAUGGUAUGGUAUCCUUAUCUGAAUACAUAGGGUAAGGAAGACAGACCCAGGGAACUGAAACAUCUAAGUACCUGGAGGAAGAGAAAGCAAAUGCGAUUUCCUGAGUAGCGGCGAGCGAAACGGAACAUAGCCCAAACCAAGAGGCUUGCCUCUUGGGGUUGUAGGACAUUCUAUACGGAGUUACAAAGGAACGAGGUAGACGAAGCGACCUGGAAAGGUCCGUCGUAGAGGGUAACAACCCCGUAGUCGAAACUUCGUUCUCUCUUGAAUGUAUCCUGAGUACGGCGGAACACGUGAAAUUCCGUCGGAAUCUGGGAGGACCAUCUCCCAAGGCUAAAUACUCCCUAGUGAUCGAUAGUGAACCAGUACCGUGAGGGAAAGGUGAAAAGCACCCCGGAAGGGGAGUGAAAGAGAUCCUGAAACCGUGUGCCUACAAAUAGUCAGAGCCCGUUAAUGGGUGAUGGCGUGCCUUUUGUAGAAUGAACCGGCGAGUUACGAUCCCGUGCGAGGUUAAGCUGAAGAGGCGGAGCCGCAGCGAAAGCGAGUCUGAAUAGGGCGUUUAGUACGUGGUCGUAGACCCGAAACCAGGUGAUCUACCCAUGUCCAGGGUGAAGUUCAGGUAACACUGAAUGGAGGCCCGAACCCACGCACGUUGAAAAGUGCGGGGAUGAGGUGUGGGUAGCGGAGAAAUUCCAAUCGAACCUGGAGAUAGCUGGUUCUCCCCGAAAUAGCUUUAGGGCUAGCCUUAAGUGUAAGAGUCUUGGAGGUAGAGCACUGAUUGGACUAGGGGUCCUCAUCGGAUUACCGAAUUCAGUCAAACUCCGAAUGCCAAUGACUUAUCCUUAGGAGUCAGACUGUGAGUGAUAAGAUCCGUAGUCAAAAGGGAAACAGCCCAGACCGCCAGCUAAGGUCCCAAAGUGUGUAUUAAGUGGAAAAGGAUGUGGAGUUGCUUAGACAACUAGGAUGUUGGCUUAGAAGCAGCCACCAUUUAAAGAGUGCGUAAUAGCUCACUAGUCGAGUGACUCUGCGCCGAAAAUGUACCGGGGCUAAAUACACCACCGAAGCUGCGGAUUGAUACCAAUGGUAUCAGUGGUAGGGGAGCGUUCUAAGGACAGUGAAGUCAGACCGGAAGGACUGGUGGAGUGCUUAGAAGUGAGAAUGCCGGUAUGAGUAGCGAAAGACGGGUGAGAAUCCCGUCCACCGAAUGCCUAAGGUUUCCUGAGGAAGGCUCGUCCGCUCAGGGUUAGUCAGGACCUAAGCCGAGGCCGACAGGCGUAGGCGAUGGACAACAGGUUGAUAUUCCUGUACCACCUCUUUAUCGUUUGAGCAAUGGAGGGACGCAGAAGGAUAGAAGAAGCGUGCGAUUGGUUGUGCACGUCCAAGCAGUUAGGCUGAUAAGUAGGCAAAUCCGCUUAUCGUGUAUGCUGAGCUGUGAUGGGGAAGCUCCUUAUGGAGCGAAGUCUUUGAUUCCCCGCUGCCAAGAAAAGCUUCUAGCGAGAUAAAAGGUGCCUGUACCGCAAACCGACACAGGUAGGCGAGGAGAGAAUCCUAAGGUGUGCGAGAGAACUCUGGUUAAGGAACUCGGCAAAAUGACCCCGUAACUUCGGGAGAAGGGGUGCUUUCUUAACGGAAAGCCGCAGUGAAUAGGCCCAAGCGACUGUUUAGCAAAAACACAGCUCUCUGCGAAGCCGUAAGGCGAAGUAUAGGGGGUGACACCUGCCCGGUGCUGGAAGGUUAAGGAGAGGGGUUAGCGUAAGCGAAGCUCUGAACUGAAGCCCCAGUAAACGGCGGCCGUAACUAUAACGGUCCUAAGGUAGCGAAAUUCCUUGUCGGGUAAGUUCCGACCCGCACGAAAGGUGUAACGAUUUGGGCACUGUCUCAACCAGAGACUCGGUGAAAUUAUAGUACCUGUGAAGAUGCAGGUUACCCGCGACAGGACGGAAAGACCCCGUGGAGCUUUACUGUAGCCUGAUAUUGAAUUUUGGUACAGUUUGUACAGGAUAGGCGGGAGCCAUUGAAACCGGAGCGCUAGCUUCGGUGGAGGCGCUGGUGGGAUACCGCCCUGACUGUAUUGAAAUUCUAACCUACGGGUCUUAUCGACCCGGGAGACAGUGUCAGGUGGGCAGUUUGACUGGGGCGGUCGCCUCCUAAAGUGUAACGGAGGCGCCCAAAGGUUCCCUCAGAAUGGUUGGAAAUCAUUCGUAGAGUGCAAAGGCAUAAGGGAGCUUGACUGCGAGACCUACAAGUCGAGCAGGGACGAAAGUCGGGCUUAGUGAUCCGGUGGUUCCGCAUGGAAGGGCCAUCGCUCAACGGAUAAAAGCUACCCCGGGGAUAACAGGCUUAUCUCCCCCAAGAGUCCACAUCGACGGGGAGGUUUGGCACCUCGAUGUCGGCUCAUCGCAUCCUGGGGCUGUAGUCGGUCCCAAGGGUUGGGCUGUUCGCCCAUUAAAGCGGUACGCGAGCUGGGUUCAGAACGUCGUGAGACAGUUCGGUCCCUAUCCGUCGUGGGCGUAGGAAAUUUGAGAGGAGCUGUCCUUAGUACGAGAGGACCGGGAUGGACGCACCGCUGGUGUACCAGUUGUUCUGCCAAGGGCAUAGCUGGGUAGCUAUGUGCGGAAGGGAUAAGUGCUGAAAGCAUCUAAGCAUGAAGCCCCCCUCAAGAUGAGAUUUCCCAUAGCGUAAGCUAGUAAGAUCCCUGAAAGAUGAUCAGGUUGAUAGGUUCGAGGUGGAAGCAUGGUGACAUGUGGAGCUGACGAAUACUAAUAGAUCGAGGACUUAACCAU
rnacentral:rRNA from 1 species